UGGAAUGUAUCUCAGUUGGGAGAGCGGAGGACGCAUAGUCCUUGACGUCGCAGGUUCGAAUCCUGCCUUUCCGA
rnacentral:tRNA from 1 species